UUUUUUUUUUUUUUUUUUUUUUGAGAUCUUAACUAAUCAAAACAUCUGUAAUAGAGGUGGACUGCAAUGACAAAGCAUCAACACUGGUUUUUCAAAAGUGAAAUGAUAGGAAUAAUAAAUUGACCAGUGGAGAUGUGAAUUAUCAAAUGCAACUCACGUUAAAAGUAACUAAACCAGUCUUAGUUAAGCACAGAAACCCAAAGAACCCAAUUUGAGGUCUCAAAAGGGGCGUGAAAACACAUAAGAACCCAAAGAAUCCAAUUCAAUAUUUAAUGUGAAAAGAGACUCACAAAGUUAACAUCUGUGUGAAUGAUCUUGAGACUCAUGCUACAAGAACCCAAUUCAAUAUUUAAUAGAGCAAAAUAUUGAACUGUAAGCAAGAAGCAUUAAAACAUCCUUCCAAGUACCUCAAAUACCCAAAUCAUCUUACUCUCUUGUUUGUGGAGAUUCGGGAAUAGAUUAGCAAAUUCUUUUACCUAACCAAGCAUUAUAGCUCUAACUCACAACAAAGGCUCUCAUAGAUUGAAUUUAUUUUGUAUUGUUUAGCAUAGACGAGGUUUUAUUGCAAGUAAUGGUUGAAUAUAUAUAUAUACACGAUUAUGUUAGUGAGCUUUCAAUUAGGGAAGCCCUCUAAUUUUUUAGUCUGCAUAUUCAGGCAUAUUAUCAGGUGUUAUAACACACCCAUAGUAUGAAUUUUUAGGUGUGUAGACAACUCUAUUUUUUUGUCUGUCGUUAUUUAUUUUCUAUCUUAAUAUGUGCCAUUUAAUUUUAAUUGCAAAUUUGCACAUUGGACUUAUAAUAAGAGGAUUAGAUCAAGAAUUAAAGUUGUUUUUCAGCAAAAUUUGAUGCUAUUUCACUUCACGGGUGCAAGUUCUGCAAAAAUUGGCAUUUGGAUAGGUUUAUUGAAUUUCAUUCUUUAAUAGAUAUUAAUUGUCUCGUGGGAUCUCAUUUGCUUUGAAGAACUUUAGAUUUUUAACAUUAUAUUAUUGAUUUCAAUAGGUGAAAUUUGUUUAUCACAAUGAAUGAAAGAAAGUUUUUGAUAAAGAAUAGCAUAAUUAGCAAAAUCUCUUGUAUCAUUGUAUGUCUAAGAUUGUAAUAAGAGUUCAAACUUCAAGUCUUCCUAGGAGCACCAAUAUAUUCUUGACCAAUUAAUAAUAAAUGGGAUGGGUUGGGCAGUCCUACAAAUUCACAAACUGAGCAAUCUAAAUCUUGUAAUGAAAACCUUAUACGGGCUUAUUUUUUAGUUUUAAAUUUCAAUUGUAUAUUACUAGUUUAAAGGUCUAGAUAUGUUUUUAUUCAUUUACUUGUUUAUUUAUGGUUUAGGCAUUUUGUCAAGCAGGUGGUGUGCCUAAUUUGUCCAUGCACUAACAGGUAUCCAUGAAAACAGAGACAUAUAAAUCAGAUGUCAAUAUAUCUAUAUAUAGAAGGAAAAGGAGUAGAAAAGUUCUAAAUUACAUACCCGAUUGUGGAUUUGGGGUAGUAAUAUAUGAACCGAGAAACAAAGAAGUUGAACCAAGACAAGAAGCAAAACAGAACAAAGAGUAUACACACAUAUCUAUAUAUAUAUAUAGACAUGGCUUU